UACGUAGGGUGCGAGCGUUAAUCGGAAUUACUGGGCGUAAAGCGUGCGCAGGCGGCGCGUUAAGACAGGUGUGAAAGCCCCGAGCUUAACUUGGGAAUUGCGCUUGUGACUGGCGUGCUGGAGUGUGGCAGAGGGAGGUGGAAUUCCACGUGUAGCAGUGAAAUGCGUAGAGAUGGGGGAGAACACUCGUGGCGAAGGCGGCCAGCUAGACCAGUUCUGACACUGAGGCGCGACAGCGUGGGGAGCAAACAGG
rnacentral:rRNA from 1 species